rnacentral:lncRNA from 1 species
AGAUGGCAAAAUAGCAUUGAAAGUGAGCUCUCUUCAACUUUUUGCUUAGUGGUACUUUUCUCCAUCCUUAAAUUUAUUUUGCUUAGUCUGCAACUUUUUCAUUAUUCUUUGUCUACACGGGCGAAUCUCUGUAAAACUACAUACUUUGAUGCUCUCUGGGUAAACUUGAAUCCAGUCAAAGAAGAAUCAUGAUUUUUGCUCGACCCAACCAGUUUUAAUUGAGGUAAAAAUAGUUCGCCAAAUUGAUCAUGCUCCACUUCUGAUUCAUUUUAGUCAAAGUUCAGAGGGAGACUACCUGUGUAGAUGGAGCCUAGAUAACUUGCUGAAUAGAUCAUUUUUGCUCUUCUCUUUUUUAAGGCAAUUCAUUUCCUUUGAGUCGAUAGCGCUUUCAUUCAUUUGUAAUUUCUGUUUGUUUUCACCACACCCUAGUGAACGGCUUCCUCACACAUAUUUUGAUGUUGAUGCAUUCAGUUCGACUGACUUGAUGAGCGAUAAUUAUUAUGGACAUCGAGAUAGUAUUGAAAUCGCUGACCUUUAUGUGCCAAACAAAAAAUCCGAUUUUGAUAAUGAAACGAUUGAAACGAUGCGCAGUACUGCUAUUCAUCAUGCCCAGCUCAACACUAUUUUAUAUUCUCAAUCGCCCUCGAUUCCUCAUUUAGAUCAUGAUAAGUAUGAAGGGAGUGGAGAGCUCACCCCUGUGUCCAGUUCUGAGCUGAAGUUCAAUUGGUCCGACUCGGAAGUGAACAAUGAAUCCGAUAAUGACAUGAUGCAUUUAGAGGCGAAUGAAGAAGAAAAGACACUCACUUCAACCAUGAAGGAAACUGACCAAUUAAAAGCAGCUCUGAAAGCGCACAUCGAAGCUCAAAAUAAGCUUUCGUCUCAGGUCUGUGCAGACGGCACCUCAGCUGGCACCAUUAAUGAAGUUGUCAGUGCAAGCGGCGAGCCCUUAGAAAGGACUGAGCCAGACGUUGCUGUAGGUAGCUCAAAAAAAGGUGAAAAAGUAAGCAGGUUCCGCGUCGAUUUCCCGCAGUAUGAUACAACAUCCCAAGCAAGUGCCUUGCCUGAUUCUAAUGCAAGCAGUGAUAAAGAGUCUUGAAAAGUCCAUUUAUCAUUUAUUUUUCAGUCGCACAAAACGUUCCUUUUAACAAUAUUUCAAUUCCAAUUCACAGCAAGGAACAGAGAGGUGAACAGCACAACUUUUUGACUUCUUUUCUUGCCUUUAGAAACGAAUUUUCAUUUUGGAAAAAGUAAAAUUUCAAUGAUUCUUAAUUUUUGAAGUAUUAUUCAAAAGUAUUUGUAUCUCAGUCUGUUUAGUGGAAGAGCUUCCUUAAUUGUCUGUGCGUGUGUUUGUAUGUGUGUAUUUAUCAAAUGAACUUAAAGAAAUGUGAGGUCCUCGUGAACAUUUUACAGGAAAACCUUUAAGUUUGGAGUAGCAUUUUAAUGGAAAAUUAAGGGUAGUAAUGUUUAGUUCCUCUUCUUCAGGAUAUUAGUUUAAUGCAUUCCUUGCCAAAAACUGAUAAUGUUGCUUUAGUUUUAUUUAUAAAUCGCUGGGCUCAGUAUUGAAAAAAUGCAGUUUUUAUAAAAGAUCCGAAUAAAUUUUGGCGCGCAUAAGUUGCACUUUUUCCCUUUCAGCCUUAAAACCUUUAAGCAAUCAGAUCAUGCUAUGUAUACGUUUCAAGGGUUUUCUUUCAUUUAAGAUGUUUAUACCUAUGUUACGUAUGUCACACACAUAUUAUAAAAAUUAUCUCUCCCCUCAAAUGCCAAAUAUUAUUUUGAAGAAAGGUGUUGCAAACUUUGAGUAGUGAGCUAACAGGAAACAAAAAGCGGGAAAUGAUGAAGAUGAAGUAACAACAUGGAAAUUUAGAAGUUCCUUAAUCUCAACUGUAAUCAACUCACUAAAAGAGACUAAUGUUUUUAAUUCUAACAAUUAAAUAAUUUAAUUACCAAAGAAUUAGCCUUUAAAAGGUUGUACAGUUACUUUUUUUGGCAGAAGAUAUUAGAAUAUGCUCAUAUGUAAAUCAAUGGAUAAAGCCAUAAUGGAUAAAACUUUCAAUAAUUUUUAUUUUUAAUCAAAAGUCUAGAGACUAGUUGUAGGGAGAUUCUUAGUUAACAUGUUUUCGAGCUUUAUUAUCAGUUAAAAUGUAGUACGCCUUUGUAAAAUUUCAUCUCUUCUUAUUCAUUGUACCACUCAUAAAAAUCCAUGUAUAGAAAUGGAUGUAUCUGAAAUCAAGUUAUUGAAAAUAACUUGAAUUAUUUACAUUUCUUGAGUUAUUGAUUUUUUGAAAGGUAUCUCAACUUGUUCUCUGCCCUCUCCUUUUGGCUAUCUUUUUAUUUUGAAGAAUGUGUAGCAGGAGAUUUCUUAAUAAUUUAUCAGUGCCAAAUGAUCUAUAGAUGAAAAAACUUCAGUAACACUCCGCAAUAUUUUUUCAUACAUUCCGGCUCAACACAACCACCACGGUACCCUAAUUAGUCCUCGCCUUGAGUACUAACUUUUGGUGUGGGCACUGAGCCCUCUGCAGCUUUUCCAAUCCCAAUCAACUCUUUUUUUUUACUCAUAUUUAUUUAGUGACCCAAUCUUCUGGCCGAGGUGCAAGGCACCCCCAUUCUUCCUCUUUACUGCAUAUUUUUUCUUUUAUGUAUAUUUUGAUCUCACCUGUGUCUAUCUCACUUUUAUCAGUCUCCAGUACAUUGACUUUGAUCUCUCCAAUGCAUCAAUUAUCAAUUUAAAAUUAUUAGUCCUUGCGGAAGAAGAAUCAGUUAAGGAACCAUUUCACUGACAUUGAUUUUUUGUAUGAGCAAGUAAUUUUGUAGUAUAUGUGUAUAUUUUGUUAAUAACCUAAGAAUCAUGUGAUCAAAGUACCUCAUGUAAAGUGAAAAAUUGUAUUCCUUCAUGGCCAAUUUCAAAACCUGUUAGUGAACUACUAGACAAGGUGCAAAGUUAAGCAUUCUGAUACUUGUUACUUAAUCAGAAUUUCUUGAGCACACGAUUCUCGCAUCAAAAAUUACUGCAAUCAACUUCUAAGUAAGAUAUUAACGUUUUUAUUUAACAUUGGUUCUGGGAAAUUUGAAUUUCACAAAAAACGCAAUACUUUACGUGAGUCCAGUCGCGUACCACAACGGUUUCGGCAGGCUUCUCAAUCAAGCAAUGCUCAUUCCCUAUCUUGUGUUGUUCAAACUAUAAAAAACUUGCUAUAGCUAAGUCAAAGUGUCAAGAUUGAGGUUGUCAGAUUUUCAAAUUGCAGAAACUGUCAUGGCAACCUUUAGUGCGCACUUAAACUCACAUAGACCAUUGUGUUCUCAUGAGCGGGAGGUUUGAAUUCACGUGUCAAGAAACAUUAAACAUCUUAGUUAGGAGUUAAUUUCAGUAAUUUUUGUUGCGCAAAGCGUAUUCUACCUAAAAUUUUGGUCAAGAAACAUGUAUCAGAAUGCUUAACUUUGUACCUUGUCUAGUGGUCCAUUCGCAGAAAAAUGGAAAAAAGAUCCAUCUUAGAAUUGUUAUUUGAUCAGCAACAAGUGAUCCCAAAGUGAUCAAAGAGGAGGAAAGACGCAACAAAUUACAAAUUGAGGAUCAUGUAGGGUACAGUCGACCCUAUUGAUACGCAUUGUUUCACGGCAAAGUUUAUUAAAUAAAAUUGUCUACUUUAAAAGAAAGAGCAUCUCUUACAAGGCUCAAUUUAAAUGCUAAUUUUUUAAUAAGUUCAAGAUUGGUUUUUGUUAUUAUCACUGAUUUAUCUGUGAUAGGAGAAACACCAAGAAGAUAGCCUUUUUUGUUCUCUCAGAUUGGUCUUAAAGCAGGAUUUCAUCUCUUAUCAUUCUAAAAGUCAAAAGGUCACUUUUCUCCUCAGCUCUCUCGACACUGGCUUAGACAUUUAGCGUCCUCAAAGCCUUAAAAUAUAACAUUUUAUUUAAAAAUCAAGAAAUUUGGCUCAAUUUUUUGUGGAAGUCCGAACUUCUCUCUUUGUAAAUAAUCGUUGAAACUUAACAUUACAAACUUUUUCUUUCAGAAGAAUUCAUGGAGCAAAUCAAUGGCCCUGGUGUGGAACCAUGCAUCUCCAUUGCAGUGUUUCAAAAUUUCCACUCCUAUCUUAUUUUUUCAACGAGAUGCAAGCCAAAUUUAUAUCUUGAAGUUUAUACAGAAUAUUUUGCUAACAGAGAAGAGUCAAGGAGGUUUUCAAGAAACUACGCCAACUAGUUUUUCUAAGAAAAAUUUAAGUAUGACAGGAAGUCUGCAACGUUGCAAACGGAGAUACAUAGUUUUGCACUGGAGUCGUCAAAAUUCUUUUCUAUGUAGCAAUUUGCUGUUAGAUUUAUGUUAUUAGUUUGUGGAAGUAUUCAUAGACCGAAGUCAUGCUCAAGAAGGUAGGUAUUUAGAACUGCAUCAUUGUUUUUAUUAUUUUAGUAUCAUACUAAAAAAGUUGUAACUGCAGGGUUGCCACAAUCAGGAAACCAGUAAAACCGGGAAAUGUCAGGGAAUUUCAAAGUCAAUGGAAACAAGGAAUUGUCAGGGAAAAAGUUUCGAAAACCUUUUUUUUGCUCUUUAGAAUGUGUUUCAGAUUUGAACGAUAAAGUUUGGGUGUUUGGGUUUGUAGGUGGCUAAUUUUAACCAUUCAGCAUAUUGUCUAAUGACGGAGGAUUUUGCCAAAAUUGGUCACGGAAUUUCAUUUUCUAACUCUUGUGGCAACCCUGUAACUGUAAAAACUGAUUAACAAAACUUAAUUUAGUAAUUUUUAAGUUUGAAGUGCCUCAAUUGAUCUACUGAUGAGUUUAAUAAAUUCUGUUACCUGUUAAACUGUGUGUGUUUAUUAUUAUGUUGUCCUUAAGCUGUAUGGAGAAUCUUUUACACAAAUUACAUUCCUACUUUCAAAGCAUGGUGUAGAAUCAAGUCGCUUGGUCAAGUCAUUAAUCAGAAAGUUUGGGCUAGCAGAAAGAAUUACAUACUAGAUAUUGAAAAAUAUGAAUAAUGAAAUAAUCACAGAUUUACUGAAAAUUACAUUAAUUGAACGUCGCAGUGAUUAAACGCUGUAAUUGAACAAAAUUUACCUAUUUCUUCUUGCGCAUUUUUUUGUCAUAUAUUUAUUAAUCCAAGUGUAAUUUUAUGCUGAUUUUGAUGAUAUCCUUGAAGGAUUUUUUACAUUCAAGUAGUCAAAAUGCAAUUUUAACCUAAUUGUUGCUGCCUGUUGAUUGACGUUUCAAGAAAAUCACUGUCUUCCAGAGCCAUGAUUUUAUUUCACAAAAUGAACCACGUUUGACAGAAACGCAUCAAGUUUGAACUGAGAAAAAGAGAUUUGAAGUUUUAUUCUUCCAUGAGACUGACUAAGGGCAAAGUUUAAUGACUGUCUUCCUGUUCAAAAUAUUUUUUCUUAACUUAAAAUUUUUGACAGUAGAAAGUUUAUAACCAGUCAAAUUCAAAACUACUUCUUUUUUUCUCAAAAA